rnacentral:rRNA from 1 species
ACCUACGGGGGGCAGCAGUGAGGAAUAUUGGUCAAUGGGCUUACGCCUGAACCAGCCAAGUCGCGUGAGGGAAGACUGCCCUAUGGGUUGUAAACCUCUUUUGUCAGGGAGCAAUUGGCGCUACGUGUAGCGUUAUCGAGAGUACCUGAAGAAAAAGCAUCGGCUAACUCCGUGCCAGCAGCCGCGGUAAUACGGAGGAUGCGAGCGUUAUCCGGAUUUAUUGGGUGUAAAGGGUGCGUAGACGGGAAGGCAAGUUAGUUGUGAAAUCCCUCGGCUUAACUGAGGAACUGCAACUAAAACUAUCU